rnacentral:rRNA from 1 species
ACGGGAGGCAGCAGUGAGGAAUAUUGGUCAAUGGGCGGAAGCCUGAACCAGCCAAGUCGCGUGAAGGAUGAAGGUAUUAUGUAUUGUAAACCUCUUUAGCAGUGGAGUAAUAAGGAGGUCGAGACCUCUGAUGCAAGUACACUGAAAAUAAGGAUCGGCUAACUCCGUGCCAGCAGCCGCGGUAAUACGGAGGAUCCGAGCGUUAUCCGGAUUUAUUGGGUUUAAAGGGUGCGCAGGCGGCCUUGUAAGUCAGCGGUUAAAUCGUGGAGCUCAACUCCAUCCCGCCGUUGAUACUGCAGGGCUUGAUUGCGGUUGAGGUUGGCGGAAUUCGUCGUGUAGCGGUGAAAUGCAUAGAUAUGACGAAGAACACCGAUUGCGUAGGCAGCUGACCAAGCCGUAAAUGACGCUCAUGCACGAAAGUGCGGGGAUCGAACAGGAUUAGAUACCCUGGUA